GCCUACGGGGCAGCAGUGGGGGAUAUUGCACAAUGGGGGGAACCCUGAUGCAGCGACGCCGCGUGGGUGAAGAAGCGCCUCGGCGCGUAAAGCCCUGUCAGCAGGGAAGAAAAUGACGGUACCUGAAGAAGAAGCCCCGGCUAACUACGUGCCAGCAGCCGCGGUAAUACGUAGGGGGCAAGCGUUAUCCGGAUUUACUGGGUGUAAAGGGGGCGCAGACGGCGAUGCAAGCCAGGAGUGAAAGCCCGGGGCCCAACCCCGGAACUGCUCUGGAAACUGUGCGGCUAGAGUACUGGAGGGGCAGG
rnacentral:rRNA from 1 species